UAGGUUCUUCUGUGAUAUGUUUUCAUGGUGUGGGAAUAAGACUUGGUGGUCUAAUACAGCUAAUACAAAGGUUAGCAUCACAGCUUGUCUGUAAGGAUUGAAGCUGGGAGUGGGCAUUGGAGCUGACUUUUAUGGUAACUGUGACUGCAUUAAAGAGCUAUGUGAUUUUACUGUAACAGUAGAGAAUGUAAUUCAGACUAUUUUUGUGUAUGUUUGAGAAAAUGUUUAUAAUUUUUACCAUAUAAAAAAAAAUUAUGUACAGGUUCUCUAUUUUCAACAAGAUUGGAAGUUGUAGGUUAAUAGGUCUUUGAAAUUUAAAAAAUACUAUUUUUUGUUCAUACUCACAUCUAGAGAAAACACUUCCAAGAAGUUUAAAAAUGGAGAAUCUAAAAAAAAAAAAAAGAAAAAAAAAAUGUUCAAUUAUUGAAAGGUUUUUGUUCAGCCUUUGACUUAAGUAAAAAAGAGAGACAUAAGGAUCCUACAUUCUGUUAUUUGCUUGGUCUGACAGCGUCCACAUAUGAGGGGGAAUAGGAGGGGUCCUGAUCCUGAAAUUCCAGGCUUAAAAACACGAAAUCCUGAGGUCCCAAAAUUGGAAAAAAUAAUUCCCCGAUCCCGAAAGGGUCAAUCCCGAAAUCCCAAGCUUAAAAACACCAGAUCCUGGAGUCCCAAUAAAGAUCAUAUCCCCCUCACAUAUAUUCAGUAAUUUUUCUUGCAUAAGCUGGACCUAGUUUUUGGUCAAGGUAGUUUUUAAUGAAGCUGAAGUCAAAUCAACUUGAAACUUAGUACACUUGUUGCUUAUGAUAUGACCUUUCUAAUUUUAAAGCCUAAUUAGACUUUUGACCCUGAAUUCAUGGCCCACUGAACAUAGAAAUGAAAGUGGGAGUUUCAGGUUAAACUUUUUGGUCAAGGUAGUUUUUGAUGAAAUUGAAGUCCAAUCAACUUGAAACUUGGUACACAUGUUCCCUAUAGUAUUAUCUUUUUAAUUUUAAUGCAAAAUUAGAUUUUUACCGAAUUUCAUGGUUCAUGGAACAUGGAAAAUGAUAGUGCGAAUGGGGCAUUCAUGUACUUUGGACAAAUUCUUGUUCUGGUGUGAUUUGAACAGUCCCUCCUUCCCCUGGACAACCAAUUAUUUAUUGCUUAAAUUAAUCAUAUGGAUUUUCAUUAAAAGGUAAAAAAAAAAAUGAUAGUAGUUAAUACUGUAUGCAGAGUGUGUGAUAUAUUUUUCUGGUUCGUCAAGGUCUUUAAAUGCAUUUUUUUUUCAAUUUUCAGAUCCCACAAACAUAAGCUAAGGGAACCUGCAAAAUAAGAUUUGUCUUUGUUUAAUUUGUAAUGAUAUGUUAAAGAGCAAAAUGUUUGUAUUUGUCCAUCUGUGUCUUCGAUCCAAAACUCCAAUUACAUAUAGUCAUCUGUAUAAAGUGGAUCCAGGGAUCAUGUAUGCAGGGUAGGGUUUCGAUAAAACACAGAGUUAAAUGUUUUAUAAGAACAAGACUUUAGGGAUUGCUACAGUGAUUUAAUUAGACAUAUUUUGGUUUGUAUGGCACCUUUAUCGAGAUUAAAGCUACAAGAUAGUACAAAAUCCUGUAGUGAUAAUUUAUAUUUCACAAUGUCACCACCAGGAUACAUUAUAAAUAAGAAGUAAAGGUAGAUUAGAAAGUUAACUGGAUUAAGAAUGUUAAAUAAAAUAUGUUUUUGUAAAUUUGGACGACAUUUGACUUGCAAUUAUGUACUAUUUACUACACUGGAUGUAGUACAGACUUGCUUAACGUACCAUUUCAAUACUGGGAAGAGUACGUUUGUCUGAGCGAAGCCAAUUGGAAGCAUGUACCUCUUAGUGAAGCUAAUUGGGAGUACAUACCCUCUGUCUUGUUGCGAAGCUGAUUGGAAGCAGUACAUAUACACCUCUGUCUGCUUAACUUAUUAGAAGCAGUACCCUUGGCAGAGUGGUCCCAAUUAGAGGCAGUAACUCUGAGCGAAGCCAAUUGGAAGCAUGUACCUCUGCAAAAUUUGAUCAAACACUAUUCAACAAAUUUUAGUUAACAUUCUUUUAAAGUUUACUUUCAUAUCUUCUUUUAUUUUUUUAUUUAUCAUUAUUCCCCCUGUUGACAUUAAUUAUUAAGUGCAAAUUAUCACUUCACCAUUUUGUACUCUUUUGUCACUAAGUUUUUAUUCUGAUGAAAGUGCUGUAGAAAUUAAAACAUGCCAAUAUAGUUUGAUUACUCCAACAAUCCCUGAAGUAUUAUUAUAAGAAUUAUCAUAAAUGAAUCUUUUAUAGACCAUUGAAAUACUAUGCAUUUUGCUGGUUAUUUAUUUCACUUUUUGUCAAGCCUUCGAAUGUAGUUGAAAAAGCAAGAAAUAGCAAUUCUUCAUCCUUUUGGCUGCUGCGGCGGUCAUAAAUAUUCACUCUGUAGUUCAAGUUUUUGAAAUUUUAAUUAUUUUCUUAAACUAUCCUGGAUUUUUACAAAACUUGGACAGAAGCUUGUUUAUGACCAUAAGAUAAUAUCUAGAAGUAAAUUUUGUGAUUUAAAAAAAAAAUCAAUUUUUACUUAUAACUGGACUUUCUGCCAGGAAACAAUAUAUUCACUCUGUGGUGGAAGUUUUUCAAUUUUUUUAAUAGCUUUCUUAAACUAUCCUGGGUUUGUACCAAACUUGGACUGAACCUUGUUUAUGAUCAAGAGAUAAUAAUAAGUAUGUAAGGAAAAUGUGUACCUGUUUAUCUGUAUUUUACUUAUAAAUGGACUUCGUUUUAUUUCCAGUUAAUAUAAUUUACAGUCUGCAAACAUUUAUUAAAUUCAAAAGAUCCAGAACUUUUCACAAAAGGGGGGGGAGGGACUCUCUAGUCAUGCUUCAAUGAUUCCCUAUAUAAUCAAUCAAUUUUUUUAAGGGAAAAGGGGAGGGGCUGGAUUCCCCUUAGGUGGAUUUCUACCAAACUUGGACAGAAGCUUUUUACAAUCAGAUGGAGAGGAAUAUUUUUAUUGAUAUUUUCCCUCUUUUUUGUUUAGCCUGAGUUUAACAGUUGGCUAGACACUGUGUUCUACAGAACCAUUACAAAUGACAUUUUAGCAAAUUGUAAUAUAUUUUUCACCUUUGUCAUGUUUAGCUGAGUUUAUAACAAAGGGUAUAUUUUUUUAAGAAUAUUUUACAAGGAGCAUAGUUGAAGAAUAUCUUGAUGAAAGAAGAUUGAUUGACUUUUGGGUAUUUAACCCCACUUUGAUAAUGGUUUGUUAUAUUUUGGCUGCCAGUUUUUAUUUGUGGAAACAGCCUGGUGAAAACAUUCCCUUUAACAGAGAAACUGGCAACUCUUGUCAAUUAAGAUUGAUGUUAAACACACCUACCAUGUCGGGGGCAGAUCCAGGCAUUUUAAAAGGGGGGGCCCAACUAAGGACAAAGGGGAGUUCUAACUAUAUGUCCCCAUUCAAAUGCAUUGAUAGGCCAAAAAAGGGGGGAUUCCAACCCCCAGAACCCCCUGGUGGAUCCUCCAACGAAUGUGAGGGUUCAGAGAGUUGACAGACUAGUGAAACAGUAGUUGAACUUCAUUGACCAUUCAGUCGCUAUUACUCCAUCUGCACUAAAAAUGUUAUUGAAAUAUGUUGAAUAUUUGUAAUUUACUUAUUUUUUUUAUUUUGAUUACCAGUACACUAUUUUUGUUUUUUUUUGUUAUGUAAAACAAAGAUUUGGAGUUCUAACAGGGUGAAAUUUAUGUCAAAGGGAGGUAAUUUAUUGUACUGUGUUUAACUUCAAAUACUUGAAAUCCCCUCAAUGUUAGAUUUUUAUUUAUGGGAAUACUCACGUUUAUGCAUAUAUUUUUUACAUAUCAGAUGUUCUCUAGAUACAUCACUUAAAAUAAUUACAUGAAUUUUUUUUUAAAGUUUAUUGAUUGAAAGUACAUCUGAUACUUUUAUGUAUGUUAUGUUAUUUUCUAAAACCAAAUGGACACAACUUAGAUUGACAAUAAGAUAUUGAGAAGAACCACCUUAUCAGCCAGGAUGGCAGCUCUUACGAAGAUGGUCAAUUAAAUCUUCAACCAAGUCUGAGGCUUUACCAAGAAAAUAG